UACCCUUGACAUGUACGGAAGCCCGAUGAAAGUUGGGUGUGCCCGAAAGGGAGCCGUAACACAGGUGCUGCAUGGCUGUCGUCAGCUCGUGUCGUGAGAUGUUGGGUUAAGUCCCGCAACGAGCGCAACCCUUGCCAUUAGUUGCUACAUUUAGUUGGGCACUCUAAUGGGACUGCCGGUGACAAACCGGAGGAAGGUGGGGAUGACGUGUCGUUACCUUA
rnacentral:misc_RNA from 1 species